AUUAAGAAGCAACGCCAUAUGGAUUUUACAUUCGCAACAGGAAAGCUCAAACACUAUGUCAGGACCAAGACGUUUUUAUGCAGCACUUAAACUGCUCAAGUAGAAGCAUGUGGGCCAGAACUUCCCCAACAUCCAAGUCUUAAAGGAUUUAAAGAAGAAUCCUCCCCUCCUCACCCUGCCAGAGCAAAGUCACACAGCUCACAGACCAUCACAGCCCCUGCAAGGAUCCUCGGGUCAUCACCUCUUUCCCCACCCUGCUUAAAGCAGGGUCGGCACUGAAGUGAGAGCAGGACAUGAAGGGCUUUUGGCCAGCUGGGACACGUGAAGGAGCCACUCCUGCAGGCUGCAUCUCAGCACUCCCCUGUACUCACAGGGAGCAAUAGCUUUCCUUAUGGCACACUGGGCCCUCACCUCUUUCCAUUUAUAUCGCCUUGACAACUGAUGUCAAGCACUGCAAAACAACAUUUCUGGGUUGCGUCUUUCAAUGGUAAAAACACAACCUCAAAUAAAAUAAACUCCCUGAGCACCCC